UUGGAACCAGGAUUAGAUACCCUGUUACUAAUUAAAAAUUUUUCUUCAGAGUAGUAUAAAUAUAAAAAUUUAAUGGACUUGGCGGCAAGACAGCUAGUUAGAGGAACCUGCCCUUUAAAUGAUGAACCACGAAUACCCUACUUGCUCUAGUAAGAUACCGUUUGUAUAUCACUGUUGUCAGUUAGUUUUUGUAAAAUACUUUCAUUUACGUUAUAAACGUAGACUUCAAGUAAUGUGGCAGCUUAUGAGGAAGAGAGAGGUGGGUUACAAUAAUGAAUUUUAGAUGGAUAGAAAAAUGAAGUAUUUUUUUUGAAAGUGGAUUUAAUUGUAAAUUUUUAAAUAAUUGAUUUAAGCUCUGUUUUGUGUACAUACCGCCCGUCGCUCUCUAAAUUAAA
rnacentral:rRNA from 1 species